rnacentral:rRNA from 1 species
UGGGGAAUUUUCCGCAAUGGGCGAAAGCCUGACGGAGCAAUGCCGCGUGGAGGUGGAAGGCCUACGGGUCGUCAACUUCUUUUCUCGGAGAAGAAACAAUGACGGUAUCUGAGGAGUAAGCAUCGGCUAACUCUGUGCCAA